CUAAUUUUGAUGGUAAUGUUCAAUAUUCUUUAUAAUAAUGAUAGCUAACAUUUAUUGAGUGCUUACCAAAUGUCAGUUACUGUACUAAGCUUUUCACCUAUAUUAGCUCUUGUCAUUCCUCCAAUAGUCCUAUGAGAUAAUUGCUAUUAUUAUCCUUCUUUUACAGGUAAAGUGAAGUGGGUGUGCCUGGGAUCAUGCACAGCUAGUGAGUGGAAGAGCCAAGAUUCAAAUCCAUGCAGCCUGGCUCCAGGGCCCACACUGUCAGUCACUCAUCAACACCUUUCCAAGACUGUAAAUUUCAUCAAGGUGGAACUACAUUUCCCUUCUGUCCUCAGGACUUAGCACGGUACUUGCCCGUGGUAGAUGAACAAUGACAGAGUGAAAAAGGAAUAAGUGAAAUCGCCAUCUUCUGCGGCUGUGACACCUCUCUGAUCCACUCCCUAAAUGUUUGCCACUCAGCCAAUUUUCCCUGAAGGCCAGCAGGGAAGGCAAGGAGGCUUGCAACAAGGUGGGGGCCCCAGUCAACCUGGACCCAUCCUGGAGGGCUUGCCUGUCAGAGAUACGUGUUUAAUGACGAGAAGCACCAUGAAGCUAGCCAAAAGAAGGCCUCAAGAGUCAGAGAUGUCUUGGAUAUUUCUGUAUUUCAACCUUUACUACCCAGACACCCAGACAAGAAAUGAUUAACCUUGGGUGCUGCCUGAUUCCAGAGAUACACCACCAGACCCAUAUGAAUGCUGCCUACACACAAAGAAGCUUGGCCAUUAGACUCAGACUGUCUCUCCCAUCUUGUUCUCCAGGGCCCUGAAUGUAGGCUGAGAAGACAAGCAUGAAACCAAAAGGCUUUGUAUAUAAUGUAUAUUGGUUUCCUAUGGCUACUCUAGCAACUUAACACAAACUUAAUGGCUUAAAACAACACAAAUGUAUUAUCUUACAGUACUUUAGAUCAGAAGUUUGGCAUGGGUUUACCUGGACUAAUAAGCAAGGUAUCUAUGGGGUUACAUUCUGUUCUGAAGGCUCCAUGGGAGAAUCCCUUUCCUUCCCUUUCCCGUCUUUUAGACACUGCCUAUUUUCCUUGGUAUGUGGCCUCAUUUCUUCCAUCUCUCUGACUCUUCUCUAUCUCCAGUCUCUCUCUAACCAUAGACAGGAAAGAUUAAUUACUUUUAAGGACACACUUUCUUAGACCGAAUAAUCCAGGAUAAUGUCAAGCUUCAUACCAUAGUAGACACGUAAAGCCCUUGUUGCCACUGAGUGAAAUAAACUCAGGUUCCAGUGUUAUGGUGUGAAUAUU
rnacentral:lncRNA from 13 species